rnacentral:lncRNA from 1 species
UCAAGGGACUCCCUUGCAAAGGGUGAAGGAGCCUUUCGGGGUUUUGACUGCAGACGGUGCCACUGCCAAGAGCAAAUCUUGGCUAUUCUGCCCUCCGCCACUGCCUUCGUACUACCCACCCCAAGGUGCUUAAAAGGAUGUCAUUCCUCUCUACUCCUGCAAACACUACUGCAUGCACUCUCUCCCAGGAACUUGACUCCCAGGAACUUGAAGGUAAACCUAGCUAGAAACUCUCGGCUCUGUAUCAUAAAUAUUCCUCAGCAUUAUAAAACUCGUCUUGUUUCUUAAAUUCUUUCCUUCUUCCUUGUCAUCACCAUUGUUUUCCGCCUAAACUCCUACAUCAUUGUUUUUGUGCGCGCGCGCAAAACAGUAGGAAAGACCACCACUCAUUUCAUAGGAGAUGAAAUGGGCAGAAGACAAAAAAGGAAAGAAAACGUAAACAAAAUCAGAAUAGAAAACGAAAUCCUUUCUUUUCCUGCCGUCCGUUAUCAUUCACUACUGCCAAAUGAAAUGCUGUGAUGGCUUAACUAGAGAAGUAGAACUAUUAUUUUUUGUCAUUAUUAAUUUUUUUUGUAAGUAGGACUAGUAGUGCAUGCCGAUUUUUCUCUUGUUAUGAUCAUCCUUAAUGCUGUAGUUCUCAUAGCACCUCCUUGUUUCAGUGCUGUAGAUGCCACCUUUCUUUUCCUUUUCGCUUGGAUGGGGGACAUGCAGAGAAGCAAGCGAGGGCGGGUCUACCCUCUCAAACCAAAUGCCAUAACAUACACUGGCUUUACGCAUAAAUAUGUGAGUCAUUUGUUGUCAGCUCUUGCUAAAGCCACUACCCUCUUCUCUUGCGAAGGAA